GCUGAACUUAAGCAUAUCAAUAAGCGGAGGAAAAGAAACUAACUAGGAUUCCCUUAGUAGCGGCGAGCGAACCGGGAUGAGCCCAACUUGUAAAUCAUUAGCCUUCGGCUAAUUGAAUUGUAGUCUCAAGAUGCGUUCUCUGCGGCGAGCAGUGCCCAAUUUUCCUUGGAAAAGGGAGUCAGAGAGGGUGAGAACCCCGUCGGCACUUGCUUCAGUUGCUCCACGAGGCGCUUUCUCAGAGUCGGGUUGCUUGGGAAUGCAGCCCUAAGUAGGUGGUAAAUCCCAUCUAAGGCUAAAUACUGACGGGAGACCGAUAGCGAACAAGUACCGUGAGGGAAAGAUGAAAAGAACUUUGAAAAGAGAGUCAAAAGUGCUUGAAAUUGUUGAGGGGGAAGGAAUUGAAAGCCGCUUGUGCUCCCGGGCUUAAGUGGGCAGUUCUGCCUUCUGUACGCUCUGGGAGCCCGUCAGCAUCGGCUACCGGACCGGGAUAACAACUUUCCUUUAGGAAAGCGCAUGCCGGCCCGGUGGCUGAGGAAAUGAAAGGCGCUCUUUGAGUCCUUCGGGAACUGCGCCUUCAAGAUGCUGGCAGAAGGCCUUCAAUUCGCCCGUCUUGAAACACGGACCAAGGAGUCUA
rnacentral:rRNA from 1 species